rnacentral:rRNA from 1 species
UACGGAGGGUGCAAGCGUUGUCCGGAAUCACUGGGCGUAAAGGGCGCGUAGGCGGCUCAUGAAGGCUGUGGUGAAAGUCCGGGGCUCAACUCCGGAAUUGCCUUUAAGACUGCAUCGCUAGAAUUGUGGAGAGGUAAGUGGAAUUCCGAGUGUAGAGGUGAAAUUCGUAGAUAUUCGGAAGAACACCAGUGGCGAAGGCGACUUACUGGACACAUAUUGACGCUGAGGUGCGAAAGCGUGGGGAGCAAACAGG